AGUGAACGCUGGCGGUAGGCCUAACACAUGCAAGUCGAACGGCAGCACAGUAAGAGCUUGCUCUUACGGGUGGCGAGUGGCGGACGGGUGAGGAAUACAUCGGAAUCUACUUUUUCGUGGGGGAUAACGUAGGGAAACUUACGCUAAUACCGCAUACGACCUACGGGUGAAAGCAGGGGAUCUUCGGACCUUGCGCGAUUGAAUGAGCCGAUGUCGGAUUAGCUAGUUGGCGGGGUAAAGGCCCACCAAGGCGACGAUCCGUAGCUGGUCUGAGAGGAUGGUCAGCCACACUGGAACUGGGACACGGUCCAGGCUCCUACGGGAGGCAGCAGUGGGGAAUAUUGGACAAUGGGCGGAAGCCUGAUCCAGCCAUACCGCGUGGGUGAAGAAGGCCUUCGGGUUGUAAAGCCCUUUUGUUGGGAAAGAAAAGCAGCAGGUUAAUACCCCGCUGUUCUGACGGUACCCAAAGAAUAAGCACCGGCUAACUUCGUG
rnacentral:rRNA from 1 species